ensembl:snoRNA
AUGCACUGCCUUUGAGUCCCUGCUGCACCUGUGCAUGGCACUGGGGGUCAGGCUGCAGCUCCAGAGCCGGCACUUGUGUAUAACUGGGGCCAUGUGUUCCUGCAGCAGCAGCAGCCCUCUUAACCAGGAGCAACAUAG